rnacentral:rRNA from 1 species
GAUGAACGCUGGCGGCGUGCCUAAUACAUGCAAGUCGAGCGGACGGACGAGAAGCUUGCUUCUCUGAUGUUAGCGGCGGACGGGUGAGUAACACGUGGAUAACCUACCUAUAAGACUGGGAUAACUUCGGGAAACCGGAGCUAAUACCGGAUGAUAUUUUGAACCGCAUGGUUCAAAGUGAAAGACGGUCUUGCUGUCACUUAUAGAUGGAUCCGCGCUGCAUUAGCUAGUUGGUAAGGUAACGGCUUACCAAGGCAACGAUGCAUAGCCGACCUGAGAGGGUGAUCGGCCACACUGGAACUGAGACACGGUCCAGACUCCUACGGGAGGCAGCAGUAGGGAAUCUUCCGCAAUGGGCGAAAGCCUGACGGAGCAACGCCGCGUGAGUGAUGAAGGUCUUCGGAUCGUAAAACUCUGUUAUUAGGGAAGAACAUAUGUGUAAGUAACUGUGCACAUCUUGACGGUACCUAAUCAGAAAGCCACGGCUAACUACGUG